rnacentral:rRNA from 1 species
GACGAACGCUGGCGGCGUGCUUAACACAUGCAAGUCGAACGGAAAGGCCCGGCUUUUGUGGGGUGCUCGAGUGGCGAACGGGUGAGUAACACGUGAGUAACCUGCCCUUGACUUUGGGAUAACUUCAUGAAACUUGGGCUAAUACCGGAUAGGAGCUCCUGCUGCAUGGUGGGGGUUGGAAAGUUUCGGCGGUUGGGGAUGGACUCGCGGCGUAUCAGCUUGUUGGUGGGGUAGUGGCUUACCAAGGCUUUGACGGGUAGCAGGCCUGAGAGGGUGAGAGGACAAACCGGGCCUGAGAUACGGCACAGACUCCUACGGGAGGCAGGAGAGCGGAAUAGUGCAUAAUGGGCGGAAGGAUGAUGCAGCAAAGCCGCGUGCGGGAUGACGGCAUUCGGGUUGUAAACCGAUUUCGCCUGUGACGAAGCGUGAGUGACGGUAAUGGGUAAAGAAGCACCGGCUAACUCCGUG